rnacentral:tRNA from 1 species
GACGGUAUAGCUCAGUGGUGGAGUGCAUGCCUACUGUGCAUGAGGUCCUAGGUCCAAUCUUCAGUACCUCCA